CAGUCAUGUUGGAGUAACUGACUAUGACAUGACCAUUAUGCCACCUGCUGAUCCCUGUGUUUAGGUUUUAAAGACCUAUAAAAAACAAACAUGGCUUUGUACAUAAGUGAAAUCAGCAUUCUCACAGUUGUAUCCAAAUUAACAAAAAAUUGUCUUACGUACCAGGCGCGUGCACGUGCAUGCUCAAGAGAAGGGAUUGAAGUGAAACCACCCCUCAAGGGAUGCUUUCUCACUUAACAUUCUGUCUCUUUCUCUUUUUCUCUCUCUUUUGAGCAUGCACACCUAAUAGCAAGUUGCAAAAAAAAUUUUUCUAGUGAAAACACUGUUUUGCAGUCCAAGUAUGAUUCUCUUACGGAGACUGAUUUUUUCUCCUUAUGCCCAAAACAGAAAUCUUUUCCAAAUAAGCAAAGUAAAAUGAAAUAAUACCUUGGGUUGCCUAUGGUCUCUGUCAUCUUCAUUUUUCUUCUGAAAUGAAUUUCCAUCCCUGCCUUUAAGGCAUUUGGUCAUGGAAGUUGCUGUUCCUGAGAUCAGCAACCAUUCUCGUGAGAAGGCAGCUCACUCCUCCAGAUGAGAGUGCACACCCCACUGGUGGCUGGACUUAUCUUGUGAUCUAGCCAUGCUGGAGAGUGGAGACAAAGAUUUUAAGCUUUCUGAGCCUUGACAUUGAGGUUAUCAGGAAGAGCCUUAAGUGUUAUUUAUUUCAAGUCCCAGUUUCACCAUUUAGUCUUGUUCUGGAGUUCCAAACCCAUGAUGUAUUUGCUGCACACCACCUCCCCCCACCCCCACUCCAGCACUCAAACUCCCCGAUCCUCAAACACGGGUUUAGUUCUUCAUUCUGGCAGAGCGAUCUGGACUGGAAGCAGCGGCAGGAAACACUGGGCACUGGGAGGCAGGGCCUGGUGUGUCCGCUCCCCUGUGUGCUCAGGCUCCCACUCCUCUCCUGCCUCUCCUCUAGAUGCUGGUCUGCUUGUGUGCUUUUGUCUAGCAGAAACUUAACAGUUCAGCAGUGUGGAUGAAUACGUUUAAUGCCAGCUGUUGGAAACCAGUCUUAGGUAACCGCCCCUUCAACAAUGGCUUUCGAAAUUAUCUUUAUGACCUGAGUUAUUAGGUCAUAAAACACCAAAAUAACUCCUUAACACAAGGAGGCAUUGAUUCCACUUAUAAGGCUACUUCCUGUGUGUGUCCAGGAAAAGUCACCAUUCAGCUGGAGAGUCCCUGAGAUGGUGUUCCUCAGAGGUGGAAGGAAGAGACGGAAGGAGGGCAGUCAGCUGUGCUCUCCUUUGUGAGUUCUGGUCGAGUAAAUGUGGAUUAGUGCUCCUUCCCAACACGCGCCACCUUUAUGUCACACUGACAUGAAUGAGAACUAUUCUGAAACUGAGGACUUCAUAGCGUUGAAGCAGAAAAUGAUGCUAAGGGGAAUCAGGAGGGAAAGCUUUGAAAAAUGUCACCUUCUUUCUUCAGAGCAUUUCUAGAUGUGUCAUUUCUUUCUCUUUCCUGCUAUUUUCACACUCAUGAUCUUAACAGGUAUUCAGAUCCACAGGUGAAACUUAGAGUUAAGCUGGUAGAGUGUUGUGAUAUGACACUGAGAACAUAAAUUGAUGUUCUUAGUCAGGGUUGGAUUAAGCUGGAAAAGUAUGUGUAGGUGCAUCUUGGAGAAGAACAACCAUAAGUUUACAGCCCUUGAACUCUCAGACACUAAGUUCUGUUGGAAAAGAGAGAUAGGUAUCUUUCUGUAAGUUUUAUAACACUGCCCUCUUUAUAGUUUAUUCAUUAGACUCUAGAGCUGUUAAAAUCACAUUGUGGGAGGGUUUUCAGUCAGCGUAAGCUUUGUGUGCACACCUAACAUCUCAAGGCAAAUGUGGAUACAUAUAAAGCUAGCAGAUCAGAAUUGAUUGCCAUUUCCUACCCUCUUCCGACUUCUUCAAAAUGUUUAUUCUGAAGUUUGGGGGAGUUUGGUUAUAAAGGUUUCAUUCUAAAGCUGUUCUUUAAUAUGCAGCUGCAUUAUAGGUGUGGGGGUGUAAAUAAUUUUCUGUACAAAGCAAAUUAAUAGAAUCUGAUUUGCUCAGAGUAUUGUUCAAUAAUGUAUAAAUAAGGUAUUCUCCCUGUUUGCACUCAGGGUUAAUAUGUCAAAGGAAAUUUAAGAAAAAUUCAGGUACAUCCAUUGCAUAUCAUUUUGGAAAAGAUGAAUCCCACAGAUGGCAAAUUUUCAGUGUCCCUCACUGAAGGCAGCAUUGUCUUCCAAAGAAAUCCAUUUUUUUCUUAAAAAAAAAAAAGUUUUGGCCGCUUCUUCUCAUCCACAUCCCUCCAGCCUCCACCCUUAGUCAUCUCUAUUCUUUGACCAGUGAAAGACCACACCUCAGUGAUGGGAAUACAGCAGCUGCCAGCAAGCUGUCCUGUUGUCAUCCUGGGAGCUCGAGCUUCAGGAAACACAAGUACAGUUACUCGCUUGUAUAUAGUCGUGUAUGUAUUCUAGCAAGAAAAGCCUAUUUAUUUUGACACGGAAACACUGACUUAUGUUGCUGAAGGUCUGGAAGCUAGUAAAAGGCUCUCUCUGUGAGUGCCGUGAACAGACCCUAGGUGACAUAAAGCCCAUUCGUUCAGCAGACUCCCACCGAGCAGCUCUGGUUUGCCAGGGCGGGGGGGGGCCCUGCCAGUGGCCAGCCAGGUCUGGCGUUGUGAAGCUUACUACAGGGCAAGGCUGGCUUUUCUCCCAAGUCUGGGAGGAAAAGUCUGGGUGGUGAAAGGUAGGGGAUGGGUGCUGGACUGUCUGCCGCAGGAUUUUAGGAACUCGGGUGUUCCUUACAAACACACAAUGUUGGGGAAACUGGGAAUAAUGUACCGGGAAGCUAAUUUAUUUGCUUAGGAGGGAGGUGCUGGAGCUGCUGUCCCCGUUUUUGAUCUGCCGAGGAGUUCCUCAGAGCUGUUGCACAGAGGCUGUACUUGGUAAGACACCAAACAAGACAGAUAUGCACCUCAAUUUCUAAUGUGUUCUAUCGGUUUCAAUUCUGAAAAAAAGAAAUAAAGAUUUUAAUAAAUA